UCAACGAGCCGUACCAGGGGCGACUGUCUCUUCAAUGACAUCCUCUACGUCGGUGGGCGAAGCAGAGGCAUCGACAGUCACAUCAUCAACCUUCGGGGGGGCGGGCUCCUCCUGCUUGGCAUCGACAUUGACGGGCGCCACCUCAUGAGUCUAAGACUAUGGCGUCAACACACACAACCACCUUUGGAACACGAGAAUUUUGUCACACAGGUCAUCAAUUGGGUUGUUCCAAAAAAAAAAAAAAAAAAAAAAAGAAUAUGAACAAUAGGGGAUAAACUUACGAGACGGCCGGGCUGCUCGUCAACGGCCAUUGCCGAAGCAGCGACCUCGCCAAGUUGACCAAGGUCGGCCAAGUUCAUAGUA
rnacentral:sRNA from 1 species